GCAGCAAUGUCUGAAUUAACCAGUGACGGGUCAGGGCGGGUCUCACCCAACACGGUGGCCACAGCUACCUGCGGUUGUUGAGCAGCAGCGUGGGUGACUCACCUCUAUAACCAUGCAUCGCAUGACGACCGGUUCCAACACACUGGGACACAGACAGUGUCCUGAGCGUUAAGGACAUGGUGUAAGAUGAUCAAAGUCCCCCACCUCAUGGACACGGGGAGAUGAUGUAAGGAAGCAAAUAUCUAACACAGCACCCGGGAGAGGGGCUGUCAGGAGAGGAGGGGCUGCACGUGAUACAAGGUAACUGGAGAAGUCCUCAAAGGUACGUUGAUAGAUGAGUGGAGAGCAGCGGAGAGUGUUCCUAACAGGAAUCAAGUACAAGAGCAGUCAGCACGGUCAGGGAGGGGCAAGGUGGCCAGAGGACCAGCUGCCCCAGUCCACUGCUUCCCAAGUGAAAAUGGAUAAUACAGCAUCUCAUGGUUGUGUCGUAAAACUAAAAAACCACCACCA